ACUCCGGCCCAGGCUUCCACAGGCAAAUGUUUCUGCAAUGCAAAUCAGAAACCUGGAAGAGGUCCCCUGGCACAAUUUUAGGUGCUAGCAUUUAUGCCUAAGGCCAAAGAUUGAAAAUAUUUUCAGAUGACAGAGAGGUGAACAGAAGAGAAACAACCUCCCUGUGACUGGGUAUCUAGAUGCUGAACUAUAUAUAACAUGAGGAAGAGAGGAAAGAGGAAGUGGGUCCUUGGAAUCCAGCAAGGAUCUGAAGCAAGGACUGAAGCCCACAGCAAGAGCAAAGAGACCUCAAUGCACAAGAAGGAGAGGUGGUAGCUGGCGCUUUCUCCCUAAGCCCUGACUCUGCGUGGGAAGGGCAGCUAGAAUCUGCAGAUGCGCUCAGCACGGUGACCAAGUAGUGGUGACCCCAAAGGCUUCCACGGAGAAACACACCAGAAGAGCAGAGCAGGGGACACAGCAGCCUACGGCGUUCGGUAAGGAAACCUAGAUGUGGGAAGCCAAAAAACAGACAGAAUGGUUCCAGAAGGCAGACAAACAACUCAGCCUCCCGCUGAUUACAGGGUUUCACUAUGCAUUUCAGACUGGAUUUGCGCUCUGUAGCCCAGGUUGGCCUUGAACCUACAGUGAUCCUCCUGCUCCAGCCUCCGGAGUGCUGGGACGACAGGCGUGUACUACACUUGGCUUCUACAUUGAACUUACACCAAAACAAGAAUAUCUAUUAUGAAAACUUAAUUAUAACUGAGUACCUGAAAAUCAACACUUUUUUCCUCCCUCUAAAUGUCCUGAUGUGUAUGACAAUGUUCUGCAAACACAAAAUAAAGCAUUGCCUUACGUUUUCCUGCUGUGACUGACAGGAAAGUAAGGCCCUUGAGUGACAGCAUUUAGACAAGAUAUUCAGAGCAAAGACUUCCUGGACCACUGGGACUUGAACCUGGAGCCUUGUG